rnacentral:rRNA from 1 species
GACGAACCGAGCGAACGUUAUUCGGAAUCACUGGGCUUAAAGGGUGCGUAGGCGGGCUGUCAAGUCUGGGGUGAAAUCCCACGGCUCAACCGUGGAACUGCCUUAGAUACUGAUGGCCUCGAGGAAGGUAGGGGCAUGCGGAACUGUAGGUGGAGCGGUGAAAUGCGUUGAUAUCUACAGGAACUCCGGUGGCGAAAGCGGCGUGCUGGACCUUUUCUGACGCUGAGGCACGAAAGCUAGGGGAGCAAACGGG